rnacentral:rRNA from 1 species
GAAUUUUAUAUAAAUUUGAUAAUAGAUUUAGAAUAAAAUUUGUUAAAUUUAUAUUUUAUUGGGAGGAUAAUUAAAUUAUAAAAACUUUAAAAAAUAAAAAUCCAUUAAUUUAUGAAUUGAAAAUAGAGAAUGAUAUAAAGAAAAUUAAAAUAAAAUUAAUUACCUUAGGGAUAACAGCGUUAUAUUUUUAGAGAGAUCUUAUUAAUAAAAAUGUUUGC